rnacentral:misc_RNA from 1 species
UACGUGAGCCCCAAGCGUUACCCGGAAUCACUGGGCGUAAAGGGUGUGUAGGCGGUUUAGUUAGUCGUCUGUUAAAGCCGGGGGCCCAACCCCCGAGAGGCGGGCGAAACGGCUAAACUAGAGGAUGCGAGAGGUGUACGGAACUCAUGGUGUAGGGGUGAAAUCCGUUGAUAUCAUGGGGAACACCGAAAGCGAAGGCAGUACACUGGCGCACUCCUGACGCUGAGACACGAAAGCGUGGGUAACGAACGGG